GACGAACGCUGGCGGCGUGCUUAACACAUGCAAGUCGAACGGAAAGGCCCUGCUUUUGUGGGGUGCUCGAGUGGCGAACGGGUGAGUAACACGUGAGUAACCUGCCCUUGACUUUGGGAUAACUUCAGGAAACUGGGGCUAAUACCGGAUAGGAGCUCCUGCUGCAUGGUGGGGGUUGGAAAGUUUCGGCGGUUGGGGAUGGACUCGCGGCUUAUCAGCUUGUUGGUGGGGUAGUGGCUUACCAAGGCUUUGACGGGUAGCCGGCCUGAGAGGGUGACCGGCCACAUUGGGACUGAGAUACGGCCCAGACUCCUACGGGAGGCAGCAGUGGGGAAUAUUGCACAAUGGGCGGAAGCCUGAUGCAGCAACGCCGCGUGCGGGAUGACGGCCUUCGGGUUGUAAACCGCUUUCGCCUGUGACGAAGCGUGAGUGACGGUAAUGGGUAAAGAAGCACCGGCUAACUACGUGCCAGCAGCCGCGGUGAUACGUAGGGUGCGAGCGUUGUCCGGAUUUAUUGGGCGUAAAGGGCUCGUAGGUGGUUGAUCGCGUCGGAAGUGUAAUCUUGGGGCUUAACCCUGAGCGUGCUUUCGAUACGGGUUGACUUGAGGAAGGUAGGGGAGAAUGGAAUUCCUGGUGGAGCGGUGGAAUGCGCAGAUAUCAGGAGGAACACCAGUGGCGAAGGCGGUUCUCUGGGCCUUUCCUGACGCUGAGGAGCGAAAGCGUGGGGAGCGAACAGGCUUAGAUACCCUGGUAGUCCACGCUGUAAACGGUGGGUACUAGGUGUGGGGUCCAUUCCACGGGUUCCGUGCCGUAGCUAACGCUUUAAGUACCCCGCCUGGGGAGUACGGCCGCAAGGCUAAAACUCAAAGGAAUUGACGGGGCCCCGCACAAGCGGCGGAGCAUGCGGAUUAAUUCGAUGCAACGCGUAGAACCUUACCUGGGUUUGACAUGGAUCGGGAGUGCUCAGAGAUGGGUGUGCCUCUUUUGGGGUCGGUUCACAGGUGGUGCAUGGCUGUCGUCAGCUCGUGUCGUGAGAUGUUGGGUUAAGUCCCGCAACGAGCGCAACCCUUGUUCACUGUUGCCAGCACGUUAUGGUGGGGACUCAGUGGAGACCGCCGGGGUCAACUCGGAGGAAGGUGGGGAUGACGUCAAGCCAUCAUGCCCCUUAUGUCCAGGGCUUCACGCAUGCUACAAUGGCUGGUACAGAGAGUGGCGAGCCUGUGAGGGUGAGCGAAUCUCGGAAAGCCGGUCUCAGUUCGGAUUGGGGUCUGCAACUCGACCUCAUGAAGUCGGAGUCGCUAGUAAUCGCAGAUCAGCAACGCUGCGGUGAAUACGUUCCCGGGGCA
rnacentral:rRNA from 1 species